rnacentral:tRNA from 1 species
AAAAAAGGCCGGAAUAGCUCAGUUGGUAGAGCAGAGGACUGAAAAUCCUCGGA